CAGCCGCCGCGGUAAUACGUAGGGUGCGAGCGUUAAUCGGAAUUACUGGGCGUAAAGCGAGCGCAGACGGUUACUUAAGCAGGAUGUGAAAUCCCCGGGCUCAACCUGGGAACUGCGUUCUGAACUGGGUGACUAGGGUGUGUCAGAGGGAGGUAGAAUUCCACGUGUAGCAGUGAAAUGCGUAGAGAUGUGGAGGAAUACCGAUGGCGAAGGCAGCCUCCUGGGAUAACACUGACGUUCAUGCUCGAAAGCGUGGGUAGCAAACAGGAUUAGAUACCCCCGUAGUCCCUGUCUCUUAUAC
rnacentral:rRNA from 1 species